rnacentral:rRNA from 1 species
AUUGAACGCUGGCGGCAUGCUUUACACAUGCAAGUCGAACGGCAGCGCGGGCUUCGGCCUGGCGGCGAGGGGCGAACGGGUGAGUAAUACAUCGGAACGUGCCCAGUAGUGGGGGAUAGCUCGGCGAAAGCCGGAUUAAUACCGCAUACGACCUGAGGGUGACAGCGGGGGGUCUUCGGACCUCGCGCUAUUGGAGCGGCCGAUGGCAGAUUAGCUAGUUGGUGGGGUAAAGGCCUACCAAGGCGACGAACUGUAGCUGGUCUGAGAGGACGACCAGCCACACUGGGACUGAGAAACGGCCCAGACUCUGACGGUAGGCAGCAGUGGGGAAUUUUGGACAAGGGGCGAAAGCCUGAUCCAGCAAUGCCGCGUGUGGGAUGAAGGCCUUCGGGUGGUAAAGCACUUUUGGCGGGAACGAAAAGGACUGUGCCAAUACCACGGUUCGAUGACGGUACCCGCAGAAUAAGCACCGGCUAACUACGUG